UGCAAGUCGAGCGAUGAAGCACCUUCGGGUGUGAAUUAGCGGCGAACGGGUGAGGAACACGUGAAGAAUCUGCCUUCAACUCUGGGAUAACUCCGGGAAACCGGGGCUAAUACCGGAUAUGAGCCUUGAUCGCAUGAUCGGGGCUGGAAAGUUUUUCGGUUGAAGAUGACUUCGCGGCCUAUCAGCUUGUUGGUGAGGUAAUGGCUCACCAAGGCGACGACGGGUAGCCGGCCUGAGAGGGCGACCGGCCACACUGGGACUGAGACACGGCCCAGACUCCUACGGGAGGCAGCAGUGGGGAAUAUUGGGCAAUGGAGGAAACUCUGACCCAGCGACGCCGCGUGAGGGAUGAAGGCCUUCGGGUUGUAAACCUCUUUCAGUAGGGAAGAAGCGAAAGUGACGGUACCUACAGAAGAAGCACCGGCUAACUAUGUGCCAGCAGCCGCGGUAAUACAUAGGGUGCAAGCGUUGUCCGGAAUUAUUGGGCGUAAAGAGCUCGUAGGUGGUUCGAUACGUCGGAUGUGAAAACCUGAGGCUCAACCUCAGGCCUGCAUUCGAUACGGGCAAACUAGAGUUUGGUAGGGGAGACU
rnacentral:rRNA from 1 species